rnacentral:rRNA from 1 species
AUACNAUUACUNCUUGGUAUUGGGGGGGANAACGUUUCGGNAACGGACGCUAAUACCGCAUACGUCCUACGGGAGAAAGCCUGGGACCUUCGGGCCUUGCGCUAUCAGAUGAGCCUAGGUCGGAUUAGCUAGUUGGUGAGGUAAUGGCUCACCAAGGCUACGAUCCGUAACUGGUCUGAGAGGAUGAUCAGUCACACUGGAACUGAGACACGGUCCAGACUCCUACGGGAGGCAGCAGUGGGGAAUAUUGGACAAUGGGCGAAAGCCUGAUCCAGCCAUGCCGCGUGUGUGAAGAAGGUCUUCGGAUUGUAAAGCACUUUAAGUUGGGAGGAAGGGCAUUAACCUAAUACGUUAGUGUUUUGACGUUACCGACAGAAUAAGCACCGGCUAACUCUGUGCCAGCAGCCGCGGUAAUACAGAGGGUGCAAGCGUUAAUCGGAAUUACUGGGCGUAAAGCGCGCGUAGGUGGUUUGUUAAGUUGAAUGUGAAAUCCCCGGGCUCAACCUGGGAACUGCAUCCAAAACUGGCAAGCUAGAGUAUGGUAGAGGGUAGUGGAAUUUUCCUGUGUAGCGGUGAAAUGCGUAGAUAUAGGAAGGAACACCAGUGGCGAAGGCGACUACCUGGACUGAUACUGACACUGAGGUGCGAAAAGCGUGGGGGAGCAAACAGGAUUUAGAUACCCCUGGUAGUCCACGCCCGUUAAACGAAUGUCAACUAGCCUGUUGGGUAGUCUUUGAAACUCUUUAGUUGGCGCAACCUAACGCAUUUAAGUUGGACCGCCCUGGGGGAAGUAACGGCCGCAAGGUUAAAACUCAAAUGGAAUUUGACCGGGGGGCCCGCAACAAGCCGGUGGGAGCAUGUGGUUUAUAUUCGAAGCAAACGCGAAUGAACUUUACUCAUGGCCUUGAACAUCCAAUGAACCUUUCCAUGAAAGCAUUANAUUUGGUGGCCCUUCGGGAACAUUGAGACAGGUGCUGCAUGGCUGUCGUCAGCUCGUGUCGUGAGAUGUUGGGUUAAGUCCCGUAACGAGCGCAACCCUUGUCCUUAGUUACCAGCACGUAAUGGUGGGCACUCUAAGGAGACUGCCGGUGACAAACCGGAGGAAGGUGGGGAUGACGUCAAGUCAUCAUGGCCCUUACGGCCUGGGCUACACACGUGCUACAAUGGUCGGUACAAAGGGUUGCCAAGCCGCGAGGUGGAGCUAAUCCCAUAAAACCGAUCGUAGUCCGGAUCGCAGUCUGCAACUCGACUGCGUGAAGUCGGAAUCGCUAGUAAUCGUGAAUCAGAAUGUCACGGUGAAUACGUUCCCGGGCCUUGUACACACCGCCCGUCACACCAUGGGAGUGGGUUGCACCAGAAGUAGCUAGUCUAACCCUCGGGAGGACGGUUACCACGGUGUGAUUCAUGACUGGGGGAAGUCGUAACAA